rnacentral:rRNA from 1 species
CUGGCGGCAGGCCUAACACAUGCAAGUCGAGCGGUAGCACAGAGAGCUUGCUCUCGGGUGACGAGCGGCGGACGGGUGAGUAAUGUCUGGGAAACUGCCUGAUGGAGGGGGAUAACUACUGGAAACGGUAGCUAAUACCGCAUAAUGUCGCAAGACCAAAGUGGGGGACCUUCGGGCCUCAUGCCAUCAGAUGUGCCCAGAUGGGAUUAGCUAGUAGGUGGGGUAACGGCUCACCUAGGCGACGAUCCCUAGCUGGUCUGAGAGGAUGACCAGCCACACUGGAACUGAGACACGGUCCAGACUCCUACGGGAGGCAGCAGUGGGGAAUAUUGCACAAUGGGCGCAAGCCUGAUGCAGCCAUGCCGCGUGUGUGAAGAAGGCCUUCGGGUUGUAAAGCACUUUCAGCGGGGAGGAAGGCGGUAAGGUUAAUAACCUCAUCGAUUGACGUUACCCGCAGAAGAAGCACCGGCUAACUCCGUGCCAGCAGCCGCGGUAAUACGGAGGGUGCAAGCGUUAAUCGGAAUUACUGGGCGUAAAGCGCACGCAGGCGGUCUGUCAAGUCGGAUGUGAAAUCCCCGGGCUCAACCUGGGAACUGCAUUCGAAACUGGCAGGCUAGAGUCUUGUAGAGGGGGGUAGAAUUCCAGGUGUAGCGGUGAAAUGCGUAGAGAUCUGGAGGAAUACCGGUGGCGAAGGCGGCCCCCUGGACAAAGACUGACGCUCAGGUGCGAAAGCGUGGGGAGCAAACAGGAUUAGAUACCCUGGUAGUCCACGCCGUAAACGAUGUCGAUUUGGAGGUUGUGCCCUUGAGGCGUGGCUUCCGGAGCUAACGCGUUAAAUCGACCGCCUGGGGAGUACGGCCGCAAGGUUAAAACUCAAAUGAAUUGACGGGGGCCCGCACAAGCGGUGGAGCAUGUGGUUUAAUUCGAUGCAACGCGAAGAACCUUACCUGGUCUUGACAUCCACAGAACUUUCCAGAGAUGGAUUGGUGCCUUCGGGAACUGUGAGACAGGUGCUGCAUGGCUGUCGUCAGCUCGUGUUGUGAAAUGUUGGGUUAAGUCCCGCAACGAGCGCAACCCUUAUCCUUUGUUGCCAGCGGUCCGGCCGGGAACUCAAAGGAGACUGCCAGUGAUAAACUGGAGGAAGGUGGGGAUGACGUCAAGUCAUCAUGGCCCUUACGACCAGGGCUACACACGUGCUACAAUGGCAUAUACAAAGAGAAGCGACCUCGCGAGAGCAAGCGGACCUCAUAAAGUAUGUCGUAGUCCGGAUUGGAGUCUGCAACUCGACUCCAUGAAGUCGGAAUCGCUAGUAAUCGUAGAUCAGAAUGCUACGGUGAAUACGUUCCCGGGCCUUGUACACACCGCCCGUCACACCAUGGGAGUGGGUUGCAAAAGAAGUAGGUAGCUUAACCUUCGGGAGGGCGCUUACCACUUUGUGAUUCAUGACUGGGGUGAAGUCGUAACAAGGUAACCGUAGGGGAACCUGCGGCUGGAUCACCUCCUU